UGCGUGAAUGGAUGUGACUGGG
rnacentral:miRNA from 1 species